GUUUAUGUUUCUUUUAAUCUCUCUGACCAUUCAUAAGCGUGUAUAUGGGAUGGAUGAGAAAAGUUGAGCCGAUUUGAUUCAACUCAACCCCUCUCACUCACUCCUUUGUUUCCACAGAUUCAACCAGUGAUUUUGUUAAUGAUCCUUCCGCAGGUUCACCUACGGAAA
rnacentral:misc_RNA from 1 species